rnacentral:siRNA from 1 species
UAAGUCAACAUAUUUUCUGGCCAU